CCCGAUUCGAGUCCGGGUUCGGGAGUGGCGCGAGUCCGGGAACUGGAUGGGGGAGAGGAGGAGGAAGCCAGCUGCCAUUUCUUUCGGACAUCACGCAACCCUGUGGAGAGGACCAAGUGACGGGGCAAUGAGGUCCCUGUUCCAACUAGUGAGAGAAACUGAGGCCUGCCAACAAUUAAGAAAAUUAACUUGGAAGCUAAUCCUGCAGCAUUCAAAUGACUACUGGCCCAGCUGACAGCUUGACUGCAAUUUCAUGAGAGACCGUGAGCCAGAACCACCCAGCUAAGCUGUCCCCAGAGUCCUGGCCCUCAGAAACUGUGCGAGAUAAAUGUUUUUUUGUUUUAAGCUGCUAAGUUUUCGAGUAACCUGUUAUACAGCAAUAGAUAACUAAUACAGCUUUAAACUUCACUGUCCUGUAUCUCUAAAUUGGGUAUAUAAAUGACUGUUGUGAGGUUGAUAAAACAGCGUAUGUGAAAUUGCCUAAUGCUCCUGAAAUAAUAAAGGCACAAAAUAUGUCAA